GGGCAAUUAGCUCAGUUGGUUAGAGCGUUUCCUUGACAUGGAAAAGGUCAGAGGUUCGAGUCCUCUAUUGCCCACCA
rnacentral:tRNA from 1 species